CCAUCUGUUUACAAUUUAUUAUACAUACACUUGCGAAAUGGAUCCAGACCACAGCGAAAAUGUAGUAGACUACCGCUCUCUGGGAAACAUGCCGGGGUACGAGUGGAAACUCCUGCGGUACAAGUGCCGCGAUUUGCGUUUGGAAGGCGUUUAUCAUCGGCACCUGCAGUUGGUUUCAGCGGCGGUUGUAACCCAACUUAUUAUAGUCAUUGAAAUUUUGAUGCUCAUUCAUGUGAUUUUGCUGUUCAGCGUGGUUAAGGACAUUGAUUUUCUCACUGUGCUUCCGUAUUUCGCGGUCAUGUUACUCACUCCAUCUAUUCUGAUGCCCAGCAGGGAGUCCAACGUCGAGCAGUACGAAGUCAUUGCCAUUUUGGUCAGCUGUUUAAUGGCCGUUCUUCUGACUGCGAUGGACUUGAUACUGCCCAUCUGUUACUUUCGUGCAUUUAAUCUGAUACCAAAUUUCGAUCACGUAGUGAUUGUCCUGGUCUACCUGAUGUUUCCAAUAGCCUUUGUGGAAAAUGGCAGAGCUUACCUUUUGGGCCUAGCCGUUUCACUGGUGUACUUUGCUUACAUGACGUUCAUGGUCAACAUCAACACACAUGAUGAAGUGUGGGAGCUAACGGCGUAUGGGGCGUAUCUGUUUUUUCUAAACAUGCUGUCCAUGUCCCUAUCCGGAUUCCGGGAGUACAACAUGAGAAGCGGAAUACUCAGUCGUUACCAGCUGGUGUACCAGAACUUGGUGCUUCAGAUGGCAAUGAAACAGGAAAAGGCCUUGAUGGACUCAAUUAUACCAGCAACGCUGGCGAGAUUUUUGCAAGAUACCAUCGCCAGUCACAUUGAAGAAGAUCCGUCGAAUCUUAUUCCAUUUACAAAAACACGACAUCUCUUUAUGGAGCCCCAUCCGGAAGUAUCUAUUCUAGAAGCCGAUAUGGUUGACUUUACGAAUCUAACGACCACUAUGGACGUUUCAGAACUUGUGGCCAUUCUGCACGAGUUGUUCGUAAAUUUCGAUUUGGCCGCCAAUCACAACAGGGCCACGCGCAUCAAGUUCCUGGGCGACUCGUACACCUGCGUCACUGGGAUUCCCAGCUACUUUGCUACCCACGCCAACGCCUGUGUGAACCAGGCUCUGGACAUGAUUGAGAUAAGCCGCGAAGCCAGCCAGCGACGGAAUAAGAGGAUCGAACUUCGGGUCGGGGUGCACUCGGGAGAGAUACUCGCUGGGAUUAUUGGGUUGACCAAGUGGCAGUUUGACAUCUGGUCAAAGGACGUCGACAUCACCAAUCGGCUGGAGUCCUCCGGACUUCCUGGAAAGGUGCACAUUUCUAGUCGCACACUGGGCUUGUUGGACAACCACUAUGUGUAUGAGGAGGGUACCGAGACGGCCAAACAGGAUCCUCUCCUGCAACGUUCUAAUCUAAGUACCUACCUAAUAAGAAGUCGACUUCCAAAUUUCGAGGACUCCGAUGACUUGGAGGACGACAAUAUCUCGCAGAACGACUACAACUUCAGUUUUAUUUUCACCCAGGAUUACGAAGAUAUCCAGGUGAAGGCGCAGCGCGAUAUGAUUCUCGAGGUGGAGCACAUGCCGCUGAACCGAGUUCAGGCGUGCAAGAUCAGACGCCCGCUGCACCGAAUGGCUAAAAAGGACAUCAACGAGGAGUAUCGAUUCCAUCUGGAGUCGUACUACCUCUUUACCACUUUCCGCAGCUGGAAGAUGGAAUGGUCCUUCAGCAAAAUGCGGGACCUGUUAAUGAAAUACAGCCUGGGGAUGAUGGUCUUAGCUGGAGCCACUAUUAUAGCUAUGAACCUACUCCAUACAAAAGCAGCCAUGGACUAUACCAUGUUGUUUGGUCUGUUUCUGCUCAUACUCUUGGCACUCCUGCUGGCUUCCUAUAAGAAACUUUGGCUUCGUGGCCGCCGACUCACGCCCAUGACGCAACCCUCCACCUUCCUAAGUCGCUGGUUGAUCAAGAUCUCCAAUCUGAUCGAGAUGUCGGUGUUCGUUAGGGUUCCAUUGGGGAUUGUCGUGCUGUUCAUGCUGUAUAUAAUGUCUUCGGCAUCAGUGCCAGGCUUGAGCUGCAAAUUAUAGAUUCCGAGUUGCACAACCUCAAGCCCCAGAUGAUUUGCUUCAUGCCCUGGCCAGUGACGUAUGCAGUAAUCAUUGUGCUUAGCCUUAUGCUGGUCAUCAUUGGCAUUCCGCUGAUCAUAAAGCUAACAGUGGGUCUGGCCA
rnacentral:misc_RNA from 1 species